rnacentral:rRNA from 1 species
CGCGUAGACGGUUCUGUAAGUCAGAUGUGAAAUCCCUGGGCUCAACCUGGGAACUGCAUUUGAUACUGCAUGGCUAGAGUAUGGAAGAGGGAAGUGGAAUUUCCGGUGUAGCGGUGAAAUGCGUAGAUAUCGGAAGGAACACCAGUGGCGAAAGCGACUUCCUGGUCCAAUACUGACGUUCAUAUGCGAAAGCGUGGGGAGCAAACAGGAUUAGAUACCCUGGUAGUCCACGCCAUAAACGAUGACAACUAGAUGUUGGGAGGGUCUGCCUCUCGGUGUCGCAGCUAACGCGUUAAGUUGUCCGCCUGGGGAGUACGGCCGCAAGGUUGAA